UGACCCUCUAAAGUGCCUUCUAAGAGGAACCUUCUAUCAUAGAAGACAGUGAAGGAUGAACAUGCAAAAAUAAACUCACCUACUUCACAAUGGCCCAGAGCCAGCUUUCAAUACAUUUCUAGAGUCAUCCUACAGCUUAAGGAAGAAAAUCACUCUAGGACUUACUGUAGGGAAGCAGAGGGAAGGGCGUUUACCUGCCAAGCUGACUCAGUUCCAUCUGCCUCCACCUGCAGGUGCAGUCAUCAGCACACAGUGGGGUGACUUCCAACCCUGGGCAGCUGGCUUAGGACUUUAAACAAGAGAAGAUAGUUGCUGGAAGGCGGCCCUGUAAGACCAGUGGCUCCUAUGAGCCAAGUGCAGAGGAAUCUGCCAGGAAAGGUGACAAGGACACCAAAAGCCAGGUAUUCAACCACGGCAAGGCUUAACAAUUUCUCUGGCAGACAGGAGCAAAUCUGGUGUGCCUGAACUGAAGCAGAAGAAAAACAUGAGCCCUCUUUUCUGGGCUACUUAUUGUAUCUUGAAUAAAAGGAACAUUGUUACGAAUAGCAAGCUGAA